AAUGUUUUAGUCGUGUGUUGCAAAAGUGGUUUUCUUUCUGGUUAUCUUAAAGACAUUUUUACAAAGCAGUUUUAUAGGUUCAAGCCUACCAGAACGGAGGCUUAAACGAAAUAAAGUCCACGUGGUGUCUCAAAACAAAUCUGACCCUUUUCGUUGGGACACCAGCAGCAUGUUUUACCAGUGGAAUGCUGGGCCAUUUUUACACCCUCUGACCCAGAUGCAAAGGAGAGUUCAGGGCUGAAGCGCCAGACUGUGGCAGCAGUAGGGGAUGGGACGGUUGAGUGAGUCCUAUAGCAGACCCCCUGCUGAGCACACACCAGCCCCAGUCACACGUCUCUCGACCCGCUCCAGCUGUAGAGGUUUGGAACGAGGGUGAGUAAAUGACGACAGAUUGUCUUCAGACAAAAGUGGCCUAUGUGCAGUUGGCUUCUUUUUCCUGAGACAAAGCAAAGCAUGAGGCUGUGAGUCGUUCUCGCUGCGACUGG